GCCGGGGGGGGAGCCUAAGAAUGCAGUCGUACGAUGAAGCCCAGCUUGCGGUUGGAUUAGUGGCGAACGGGUGAGUAACACGUGAGUACCUGCCCUUAACUCUGGGAUAAGCCUGGGAAACUGGGUCUAAUACCGGAUAGGAGCGUCCACCGCAUGGUGCGUGUUGAAAAGAUUUAUCGGUUUUGGAUGGACUCGCGGCCUAUCAGCUUGUUGGCGAGGUAAUGGCUCACCAAGGCGACGACGGGUAGCCGGCCUGAGAGGUCACCCUCUAUACUGGGACUGAGACAGGCCCAUAUACAUACGGGAGGCAGCAGUGGGGAAUAUUGCACAAUGGGCGCAAGCCUGAUGCAGCGACGCCGCGUGAGGGAUGACGGCCUUCGGGUUGUAAACCUCUUUCAGUAGGGAAGAAGCGAAAGUNACNGUACCUGCAGAAGAAGCACCGGCUAACUACGUGCCAGCAGCCGCGGUAAUACGUAGGGUGCGAGCGUUAUCCGGAAUUAUUGGGCGUAAAGAGCUCGUAGGCGGUUUGUCGCGUCUGUCGUGAAAGUCCGGGGCUUAACCCCGGAUCUGCGGUGGGUACGGGCAGACUAGAGUGCAGUAGGGGAGACUGGAAUUCCUGGUGUAGCGGUGGAAUGCGCAGAUAUCAGGAGGAACACCGAUGGCGAAGGCAGGUCUCUGGGCUGUAACUGACGCUGAGGAGCGAAAGCAUGGGGAGCGAACAGGAUUAGAUACCCUGGUAGUCCAUGCCGUAAACGUUGGGCACUAGGUGUGGGGACCAUUCCACGGUUUCCGCGCCGCAGCUAACGCAUUAAGUGCCCNCCUGGGGAGUACGGCCGCAAGGCUAAAACUCAAAGGAAUUGACGGGGGCCCGCACAAGCGGCGGANCAUGCGGAUUAAUUCGAUGCAACGCGAAGAACCUUACCAAGGCUUGANAUGUUCUCGAUCGCCGUAGAGAUACGGUUUCCCCUUUGGGGCGGGUUCACAGGUGGUGCAUGGUUGUCGUCAGCUCGUGUCGUGAGAUGUUGGGUUAAGUCCCGCAACGAGCGCAACCCUCGUUCCAUGUUGCCAGCACGUCGUGGUGGGGACUCAUGGGAGACUGCCGGGGUCAACUUGGAGGAAGGUGAGGACGACGUCAAAUCAUCAUGCCCCUUAUGUCUUGGGCUUCACGCAUGCUACAAUGGCCGGUACAAUGGGUUUCGGUUCUCUGAGUUGGAGCUAAUCCCAAAAAGCCGGUCUCAGUUCGGAUUGGGGUCUGCAACUCGACCCCAUGAAGUGGGAGUCGCUAGUAAUCGCAGAUGAGCAACGCUGCGGUGAAUACGUUCCCGGGCCUGUACACACCGCCCGUCAAGUCACGAAAGUUGGUAACAACGAAGACCGGUGGCCUAGCCUUGUGGGCGAGCCGUCGAAGGUGGGCCGGUUUUUUAGC
rnacentral:rRNA from 1 species